rnacentral:rRNA from 1 species
UUCCGUAGGUGAACCUGCGGAGGGAUCAUUACACAAAUAUGAAGGCGGGCUGGAACCUCUCGGGGUUACAGCCUUGCUGAAUUAUUCACCCUUGUCUUUUGCGUACUUCUUGUUUCCUUGGUGGGUUCGCCCACCACUAGGACAAACAUAAACCUUUUGUAAUUGCAAUCAGCGUCAGUAACAAAUUAAUAAUUACAACUUUCAACAACGGAUCUCUUGGUUCUGGCAUCGAUGAAGAACGCAGCGAAAUGCGAUAAGUAGUGUGAAUUGCAGAAUUCAGUGAAUCAUCGAAUCUUUGAACGCACAUUGCGCCCUUUGGUAUUCCAAAGGGCAUGCCUGUUCGAGCGUCAUUUGUACCCUCAAGCUUUGCUUGGUGUUGGGCGUCUUGUCUCUAGCUUUGCUGGAGACUCGCCUUAAAGUAAUUGGCAGCCGGCCUACUGGUUUCGGAGCGCAGCACAAGUCGCACUCUCUAUCAGCAAAGGUCUAGCAUCCAUUAAGCCUUUUUUCAACUUUGACCUCGAUCAGGUAGGGUAACCCAGGUC